AAAUUAAAUCGUUUCACCAUUUCUAUGUCUAUGCCUAUAUUUUACAGUCUAUGGUCUACGCACGAUUUCAGAUCACAUGGCCGUUUGUAUCAUCAUCUGGUAGGCUACAUGGUUCAGUCAUAUUUAUGUACUUUUCAUUUGCUCUUGUUUUCAGAUUUAAUAUUAUUAAGUUUUAUUAAUGUUUUCGUUUUUUUGGAUGUAUGUGAAGGCUUUUUAAGGGACUUUGUGUUCACUCAACGGCUAGAAAGCACAAAAGUUCACCUGCCGAAUGAGUUCCCGCGUCUGACCACAAGAUGGCGUCCACAGCAGAAAGAGCAAGAGUCUCCUUGUGCUGAACGGUUUAACAGCACCUCCACAUCACCUGCAUCAGAGUGUGUUUUCUGCUGGAAUCUGCUGUUCAGUGUGUGUUCGGUGUGUGUUCUCCUCUUCUCCAUCUGCGUCUACUGCCUCUGUCAGAAGAAAACUACAGUCUAUGGUCUACGCACGAUUUCAGAUCACAUGGCCGUUUGUAUCAUCAUCUGGUAGGCUACAUGGUUCAGUCAUAUUUAUGUACUUUUCAUUUGCUCUUGUUUUCAGAUUUAAUAUUAUUAAGUUUUAUUAAUGUUUUCGUUUUUUUGGAUGUAUGUGAAGGCUUUUUAAGGGACUUUGUGUUCACUCAACGGCUAGAAAGCACAAAAGUUCACCUGCCGAAUGAGUUCCCGCGUCUGACCACAAGAUGGCGUCCACAGCAGAAAGAGCAAGAGUCUCCUUGUGCUGAACGGUUUAACAGCACCUCCACAUCACCUGCAUCAGAGUGUGUUUUCUGCUGGAAUCUGCUGUUCAGUGUGUGUUCGGUGUGUGUUCUCCUCUUCUCCAUCUGCGUCUACUGCCUCUGUCAGAAGAAAACUACAGUCUAUGGUCUACGCACGAUUUCAGAUCACAUGGCCGUUUGUAUCAUCAUCUGGCUUUUUAAGGGACUUUGUGUUCACUCAACGGCUAGAAAGCACAAAAGUUCACCUGCCGAAUGAGUUCCCGCGUCUGACCACAAGAUGGCGUCCACAGCAGAAAGAGCAAGAGUCUCCUUGUGCUGAACGGUUUAACAGCACCUCCACAUCACCUGCAUCAGAGUGUGUUUUCUGCUGGAAUCUGCUGUUCAGUGUGUGUUCGGUGUGUGUUCUCCUCUUCUCCAUCUGCGUCUACUGCCUCUGUCAGAAGAAAACUACAGUUUCUGUAGGUUCUGGGGCUGAGAACAGACAUGUUGAGGCUGGUGAUGAAGUGUGUUAUGCUUCAUUAGACAUGCCUUCCACACAGCAACAAAGGCAGAGGAAUAAAAGAGCUCAGAGUUCAGACUUCAGUAUUUAUUCUAAUGUCAGAACCAGCAGAAUGUAAAGUAGAGUAAACUAAAGUCAUUGUUCUUUAGUAGAAAUAUGAUUCAAAAGAGUGUUAAUGACAAUGUUCUGGCAUCUGCAUCCUAUUUUCAUUGAUUCUAAUAUUGUAAGUUUUUAAUGAUUAAAAAUGUAAAUACAUUUAAGAAAGGUUAAAUGUUUUUUCCAAAUAUUUGACUUGCAGUCUCAGAAAGGACUCAGUGUUGUUUCUGGGUCUCUCAGUUUAAUAUAAUUUAAGCCAAUCACAUGAGUGCAUAUGCAGUAGUACUCCCAGCUAAAACUGAAGUUCUUAAACUCUUUUCAUGCCACAAAACAAACAUCUCCCUGCUACAACAACAGAAAUGUAGAAUGCAAAUGUACAUCUAACAGAGCUCUGAACAUUCCUAAUAUUAAAAAAA